UACGUAGGGUGCGAGCGUUGUCCGGAAUUAUUGGGCGUAAAGGGCUCGUAGGCGGUUUGUCGCGUCGGGAGUGAAAACUCAGGGCUUAACCCUGAGCCUGCUUCCGAUACGGGCAGACUAGAGGUAUGCAGGGGAGAACGGAAUUCCCGGUGUAGCGGUGAAAUGCGCAGAUAUCGGGAGGAACACCGGUGGCGAAGGCGGUUCUCUGGGCCUGUACUGACGCUGAGGAGCGAAAGCGUGGGGAGCGAACAGG
rnacentral:rRNA from 1 species